AUUGAACGCUGGCGGCAGGCCUAACACAUGCAAGUCGAACGAGCGGCGGACGGGUGAGUACUGUCUGGGAAACUGCCUGAUAGAGGGGGAUAACUACUGGAAACGGUAGCUAAUACCGCAUACCAUCAGAUGUGCCCAGAUGGGGUUAGCUAGUGGGGGGGGUAACGGCUCACCUAGGCGACGAUCCCUAGCUGGUCUGAGAGGAUGACCAGCCACACUGGAACUGAGACACGGUCCAGACUCCUACGGGAGGCAGCAGUGGGGAAUAUUGGACAAUGGGCGCAAGCCUGACGCAGCCACGCCGCGUGUGUGAAGAAGGUUUUCGGGUUGUAAAGCACUGUCAUCGGGGAGGCGGUACCUGAAGAAGAAGCACCGGCUAACUCCGUGCCAGCAGCCGCGGUAAUUC
rnacentral:rRNA from 1 species